GCGGGCGUGGUGGAAUUGGUAGACACGCAGGCUUUAGGUGUCUGUGACGCAAGUCGUGGGGGUUCGAGUCCCUUCGCCCGCACCA
rnacentral:tRNA from 1 species